GACGAACGCUGGCGGCGUGCUUAACACAUGCAAGUCGAACGGAAAGGCCCUGCUUUUGUGGGGUGCUCGAGUGGCGAACGGGUGAGUAACACGUGAGUAACCUGCCCUUGACUUUGGGAUAACUUCAGGAAACUGGGGCUAAUACCGGAUAGGAGCUCCUGCUGCAUGGUGGGGGUUGGAAAGUUUCGGCGGUUGGGGAUGGACUCGCGGCUUAUCAGCUUGUUGGUGGGGUAGUGGCUUACCAAGGCUUUGACGGGUAGCCGGCCUGAGAGGGUGACCGGCCACAAUGGGACUGCGAUACGGACCAGAAUCCUACGGGAGGCAGCAGUGGGGAAUAUUGCACAAUGGGCGGAAGCCUGAUGCAGCAACGCCGCGUGCGGGAUGACGGCCUUCGGGUUGUAAACCGCUUUCGCCUGUGACGAAGCGUGAGUGACGGUAAUGGGUAAAGAAGCACCGGCUAACUACGUG
rnacentral:rRNA from 1 species